CAUAGACAUGAUUUGAAUGAUUCGACGGGAUCACUCGUAGCCCGAUUGUCUUAGGUGUUCCCUUGGGUUCACCAGAGACUAGCUUGUUCCUCGGGAUCAUACAUUGCACGUGUUCGGGAACGUGCCAUUUCAGCGGUAGAGGCAGAGGUAAGAGCAAAGGCAAGCUGGCGAAUGGUCAGAAGUGAUCGUGGCAAGCCAUAGGGACACGUUUGCUUCCGCUUACGCAUGUG